GGAUGUGUGGCCGAGUGGUCUAAGGCGCUAGCUUCAGGUGCUAGUCUCUUCGGAGGCGUGAGUUCGAACCUCACUGCAUUCA
rfam:Pichia pastoris GS115 chromosome 1, complete sequence